GGAAGUGUGAAGGUUAUCAUGCCAUCUUUGAACGGGCCAGAGUCUGGGUGAAGGAAGGAGGAGGAACAAAUGAGAAGCUCAGCUUCCUUGCAGGGGGCAGAUUCGACGUCAGGUACAGUGCCUUACAGAGAUUUUUGGUGGAUGAAUAAAAUACUGCAGAUUUUUAAAUACAGAGAUGGUGUCAAAGCUCCAGGAAAUUGCAUUCAGAAAGGAAUCCUGUAUGUUGACUUCUUGUGAAAACUAAUGAAAGGAAACCAGUUUAGUUCAGGUUAUGGUUGAGUUUAAAACAGAGGAGGGAGGCCAGCAGGGGGAGCUCUCACAGCCCCAACAGGAAGACCUACACCUUACCAAGUCCAAUACUACUUUAGCUACUAGUUUACUGCCCCAGCAGGAGGAGGAAAGGUCUCCUCCUCUCCUGGCAACAGCCCCGCCAAUGACAGUCACAGCUCAGCCAAUCAGGAGGCACUACACUUCGAACUCCCAGUUUACUCCAAUGGACUUCCGGAUUAUAACAGCUCUCCCAUCUUCCCCCUUCCCUCUGGAAAGGAGCUACCUACCUCCCUUUUGCUCCCCGGACUUGCCUCUGGCCUUGCCUGUAGUUUUGCCACAGCUUGCACGUCCUGGGAUUGCAAUUCUCUGCUAUUUCCAAAUAAACCCGUUUUUGCUGGUAAAA